GAGGUUAUAGCUCAGUGGUAGAGCACUUGUUUAGCAUGUGUGAGGCACUGGGUUCGAUUCUCAGAACCACA
rnacentral:tRNA from 1 species